GACGUUGGUGUUCCGUGGCUUCCCUGGAAUAGGAUCGAAUCCUAGAACCGCCUGGCUGACUGGAGAUAGCGGUUCCACCAGUGAUCCUGCUUGUCAGCAGCUGGGAAAUACCUCCUGUACCAAACACUUCAGGCAUCGUAUCGCUUCGGUUUGGAGCAGCCUGCAUAUAGAACAGGUAAAGAUCGCGUUCUACAAAGACAGCUUGGAACAGAGCAUCACUUUCGACGGCAGAAACCGCACCCUCAGCAACUGGUUCACUCCGGACAGGAUCCUGAGCUCCACAUGGGGCAGUGUCCGGGCAAAUGCCAGCUUUUUUGCCUUUUCUAUUGAAGGGUUAUGACUUAUGUAUUUGCAUUAAAUACAUAUACACAUAAUGUUUUUAUUUAUACAAAUGUUCUUUCCGAUACUAUCUACAGAAUGUGUUAUUAUCAGUUACAAAUUAUUCAGCCAGUAUUCAAAAAGGCGUUUACUUGCAAAAUCUUUCACUGCCUGCAGCAGAAUUUUAUUCGUGUUACUUGUUUAAAGAUAGAAGACAUACUUCCUCAAAUUUGCGGGCGCUUCAUCGCUUUAACCGCUUGACGGAUUUGGCUUAAAUAUACGCAGCUGACGAAUCGCCAUCUACAUGUGAUUGAAAAGGAAGACAUUUUGGCUGCGACAAAUUUUCGCAAUAUAAUAAGCGUCUUUCAGUGUUCUACUACGGAAUUCUGGUAGCAUUACCUCAUUAACUUGUUUACACAUUUUUCUUAAAGGUAAACAGCGUGGUAGGUGUUUGAAAUGAAUGAAUUAUAGCUCCAACAUUUUUAGUAUUAUGACAUUUGCUAUAUACUCACAUGUUUUGAGAAACAUGCAAAAUUGUUUAUGCAAUAAAUUACUUUACUAAAUCGUCAUCAUUCGACAUAUUUACUAUUAUAGGAAACAUUUGGUAACUAGUAAAUGAAGGCAUUCCGCAACAAAUGCCUGUAAAAAUCAUUCACCAAGCCAACAUUCAAUUUAUAUUCAUAUUCAAACAUGUCAACAUAAUUGCCAGAUAAUAUUUUCUACCGGUACCAUGUUACAGGCAUUGUUCAAGAGCCUUUUACGUUCAACCAACCCAUUGGAGUGGGGGCUGCGCUGAUGACUUGCUGAUUGCUGCUGUUAUAACGUCGAACUGUGCGUGUGGUUAUGACAACCAUAUCACAUAUCCGAAAUUUUAUUUCGCUACUGGCAAUAACGCAGGAAAACCACAAACAUUGACAGGAAUGGCUUUGGCCGAUGGCUUCGCAAUUUUCAUCAAAUAGGAAUCAUUCAUUUAUUUACCCAUUUAUGCCUAGCGUCUAGAAAAAAGGCCUUUGCAGACAGCGUAGACCCAGAUGAGACGCCGCAUGAUGCGGCGUCUCAUCAGAGUCUGCGCUGUUUGUUCAAAGGAAUUUCUGUAAUAAAUAUUCUAAAUAUAGAAAUAAAUAUAAUAGACAUCUGUAAUUUUGGAAAUAAAUUGAUUCAAUUUAGAAGGGUGGGUGAGUCCACUAUGCAUAAAUGGGUUAACAGACAUGCGUCUGUAUAUCGAUGCGUUUAUAUGUCAAUGAUUCUUUUUUGCAACGACAUUACUACCAAAUAUUUGUUGAAAUCUACCGAUGUCUACACCAGUUUAUUAUUCAUGUUUGUAUAGUAUGUAUAUUCAUGAAAGCAAUACACUGAUUUUUCGUAACUUAGAUUUUGAACAAUAUUAAAGAAUAAAGCAGUGGUUUCACGAUCACUAGUACCAGAUGUAACAUUUUGAAUGAUGUUCUCAAUACAUAGUAUUUCUAUUUAUUGAUAAGUGCACCGAUAACGUUUUGAUUUAACCUUAUAUUUUAAUCAUAUUGUGUAGCCUCUAACUUAAAUUUCCGAUGACCUGAAUACCGCCUAUACAAUGGAGUUGUAAAUGACAUUAGUCAUCUCAUUUAAACACGUGGUUAUUAAAAAUUUAUCUCUUUA